rnacentral:rRNA from 1 species
GAUGAACGCUGGCGGCGUGCCUAAUACAUGCAAGUCGAGCGAAUGGAUUAAGAGCUUGCUCUUAUGAAGUUAGCGGCGGACGGGUGAGUAACACGUGGGUAACCUGCCCAUAAGACUGGGAUAACUCCGGGAAACCGGGGCUAAUACCGGAUAACAUUUUGAACCGCAUGGUUCGAAAUUGAAAGGCGGCUUCGGCUGUCACUUAUGGAUGGACCCGCGUCGCAUUAGCUAGUUGGUGAGGUAACGGCUCACCAAGGCAACGAUGCGUAGCCGACCUGAGAGGGUGAUCGGCCACACUGGGACUGAGACACGGCCCAGACUCCUACGGGAGGCAGCAGUAGGGAAUCUUCCGCAAUGGACGAAAGUCUGACGGGGCAACGCCGCGUGAGUGAUGAAGGCCUUCGGGUCGUAAAACUCUGUUGUUAGGGAAGAACAAGUGCUAGUUGAAUAAGCUGGCACCUUGACGGUACCUAACCAGAAAGCCACGGCUAACUACGUGCCAGCAGCCGCCGUAA